UCUCCAACCUGCUCUGACAGAAAGAGGGAACACUUACCCGAGGUUAAUUCUUUCCACAGCUGGCUGGAUGUGGUCAGGUAUUGCGGUCAGGUAUCUGAAGGUGCAGUGCACUUCGGUGGGAACGUAGCAGACGCAGGAUUUGGGGCAGUCGGCGCUGGACGGCACCACAGCGGCCAGAAACAACAGAACCUCCAGCAACCACCUCCACAGAUACAGACAAGGCCAUGUCAUGCGGUGCUGUCUGCCUCGUGGACGGAUGCGCUGCCGGCCUUUGCAGGGAUUUGGGUUUGGUACAAGUUUUGGAGAAAGAAGGAGCCAGUUUUCUUGUUGCACGAGACACAAAUAAGGCUAGUCGACACGAGGCGAGAAAGGGACAUUGCAUCCUUUUUUGCCCCAAAUACAAAAGUGAAAGCAGCAAGGUCACGUCAAGGUGUGGAGAGAGCUGAGGAGCAGGAAGAGGGAGAGCCAGAGGAGUUGGAGCAGGAGGAUUGUCACAGAGAGGGACGUUCCAGAGGAUGAGAAUGAGGAAAACAUACAGGGACAGAGAGAGGAACAACCAGAAGGACAGCAAGGGGAUCAAUGUGGAUCAGAUAUUAGGAAGUCCAGGAAUGAUGUACAACUCCUAAGUAUAGAAUCUACAAGGGCCAAGGCCUUGGAUCUUAAUGUACAGUAUUUGAGGAUCAGUUUGCCAGACAGCACAACCGUAUCCUGUUGCUGUAGUGCUAGGAUUUUGAAUGACAGGAAACCAAACCACUUUUGUAACGUGACUGAUUUCAAAUGUUGCUUUUGUUAAACAUUUCAACAGCUGCCAUGAUAACCUCAUUGUUUCAGUUGAUGCAUUUUUUGUGGAAAACAUAAAUAACUGUUUAUUGGAUUUUAAUAUAAAAUAAAAUAAAAGUUUUUGGUGCUUGGA